rnacentral:sRNA from 1 species
AAUAAGCCGAAUUUCCGCAAGGAAAACGGGGGAACCGUCUUGGGUGAAUUGAUCUUGCUUUAGAAGGAUCAUAGGGAACCUUCAACCGAACCCUUAGCUAACCUCGUAGGCACUGGAAGGGGA